rnacentral:rRNA from 1 species
UACGUAGGUGGCAAGCGUUAUCCGGAAUUAUUGGGCGUAAAGCGCUCGCAGGCGGUUUCUUAAGUCUGAUGUGAAAGCCCAAGGCUCAACCGUGGAGGGUCAUUGGAAACUGGGAAACUUGAGUGCAGAAGAGGAGAGUGGAAUUCCACGUGUAGCGGUGAAAUGCGUAGAGAUGUGGAGGAACACCAGUGGCGAAGGCGACUCUCUGGUCUGUAACUGACGCUGAGGAGCGAAAGCGUGGGGAGCAAACAGG